UACAGAGGUCUCAAGCGUUGUUCGGAUUCAUUGGGCGUACAGGGUGCGUAGGCGGCGCGGUCAGUCGGGUGUGAAAUCUCGGGGCUUAACUCCGAAACUGCAUUCGAUACUGCGGUGCUUGAGGACUGGAGAGGAGACUGGAAUUCAUGGUGUAGCAGUGAAAUGCGUAGAGAUCAUGAGGAAGACCAGUGGCGAAGGCAGGUCUCUGGACAGUUCCUGACACUGAGGCACGAAGGCCAGGGGAGCAAACGGG
rnacentral:rRNA from 1 species